rnacentral:rRNA from 1 species
GAGUUUGAUCGUGGCUCAGGAUGAACGCUGGCGGCGUGCCUAAUACAUGCAAGUCGAGCGAACAGAUAAGGAGCUUGCUCCUUUGACGUUAGCGGCGGACGGGUGAGUAACACGUGGAUAACCUACCUAUAAGACUGGGAUAACUUCGGGAAACCGGAGCUAAUACCGGAUAACAUAUUGAACCGCAUGGUUCAAUAGUGAAAGGCGGCUUUGCUGUCACUUAUAGAUGGAUCCGCGCCGUAUUAGCUAGUUGGUAAGGUAACGGCUUACCAAGGCAACGAUACGUAGCCGACCUGAGAGGGUGAUCGGCCACACUGGAACUGAGACACGGUCCAGACUCCUACGGGAGGCAGCAGUAGGGAAUCUUCCGCAAUGGGCGAAAGCCUGACGGAGCAACGCCGCGUGAGUGAUGAAGGUCUUCGGAUCGUAAAACUCUGUUAUCAGGGAAGAACAAAUGUGUAAGUAACUGUGCACAUCUUGACGGUACCUGAUCAGAAAGCCACGGCUAACUACGUGCCAG